rnacentral:rRNA from 1 species
UGAAGCCGGAAUUGCUAGUAAUGGCAGGUCAGCAUACUGCCGUGAAUACGUUCCCGGGCCUUGUACACACCGCCCGUCACACCAUGAGAGUUGGGAAUACCCGAAGCCUGUGAGCUAACUUUUAGAGGCAGCAGUCGAAGGUAGAAUCAAUGAUUGGGGUGAAGUCGUAACAAGGUAUC